AAGAGCCCUGGUUCCUCAAGAACCACAUGAAGGCGCAUGGACCCAAGGCAGGAAGCAAGAACAGGCCCAAGAGUGACCUGGACCCCAUUGCUACCAUCAACAACGUGGUACAGGAGGAGGUCAUUGUCACCGGCCUGUCCCUCUAUGAGAUCUGCACGAAGUGCGGGAACCUGUUUACAGACCUGGACAGCUUGAACGCCCACAACACCGUGCACCGUAAAGUUGAAGCCAGCCGGAACCCAGCCCCGGCCGAGGAAGGGGAUACAGAAGACCCCCCAGACACCAAGCAGUUCUUCUUACAGUGCCUGAACCUGACACCAUGUGUGGCUGGCGACGUGUCCCCCAGUGGGCAGGCUGGAC
rnacentral:lncRNA from 1 species